rnacentral:rRNA from 1 species
GACGAACGCUGGCGGCGUGCUUAACACAUGCAAGUCGAACGGAAAGGCCCUGCUUGCAGGGUACUCGAGUGGCGAACGGGUGAGUAACACGUGGGUGAUCUGCCCUGCACUUCGGGAUAAGCCUGGGAAACUGGGUCUAAUACCGGAUAGGAGCCAUUUUUAGUGUGAUGGUUGGAAAGUUUUUUCGGUGUAGGAUGAGCUCGCGGCCUAUCAGCUUGUUGGUGGGGUAAUGGCCUACCAAGGCGGCGACGGGGAGCCGGCCUGAGAGGGUGGACGGCCACAUUGGGACUGGGAUACGGCCCAGGCUCCGACGGGAGGGAGCAGUGGGGAAUGUUGCAAAAUGGGCGCGAGCCUGAUGCAGCGACGGCGCGGGGGGGAUGACGGCCUUCGGGUUGGAAACGCCUUUCGCUAGGGACGAAGCUGUUUGUGACGGUACCUAGAUAAGAAGCACCGGCUAACUACGUG